UGAGUAACACGUGGGCAAUCUGCCCUGCACUUCGGGAUAAGCCUGGGAAACUGGGUCUAAUACCGGAUAGGACCUUUAGNCGCAUGNCUUUUGGUGGAAAGCUUUUGCGGUGUGGGAUGGGCCCGCGGCCUAUCAGCUUGUUGGUGGGGUGAUGGCCUACCAAGGCGACGACGGGUAGCCGGCCUGAGAGGGUGUCCGGCCACACUGGGACUGAGAUACGGCCCAGACUCCUACGGGAGGCAGCAGUGGGGAAUAUUGCACAAUGGGCGCAAGCCUGAUGCAGCGACGCCGCGUGGGGGAUGACGGCCUUCGGGUUGUAAACCUCUUUCACCAUCGACGAAGGUCCGGGUUUUCUCGGAUUGACGGUAGGUGGAGAAGAAGCACCGGCCAACUACGUGCCAGCAGCCGCGGUAAUACGUAGGGUGCGAGCGUUGUCCGGAAUUACUGGGCGUAAAGAGCUCGUAGGUGGUUUGUCGCGUUGUUCGUGAAAUCUCACGGCUUAACUGUGAGCGUGCGGGCGAUACGGGCAGACUAGAGUACUGCAGGGGAGACUGGAAUUCCUGGUGUAGCGGUGGAAUGCGCAGAUAUCAGGAGGAACACCGGUGGCGAAGGCGGGUCUCUGGGCAGUAACUGACGCUGAGGAGCGAAAGCGUGGGGAGCGAACAGGAUUAGAUACCCUGGUAGUCCACGCCGUAAACGGUGGGUACUAGGUGUGGGUUUCCUUCCUUGGGAUCCGUGCCGUAGCUAACGCAUUAAGUACCCCGCCUGGGGAGUACGGCCGCAAGGCUAAAACUCAAAGGAAUUGACGGGGGGCCCGCACAA
rnacentral:rRNA from 1 species